CCUUGCUUUAGUAAGCUCCAUUCUCUGCCUGUGGGACUCUCUGCUUCUACGGCCUACGGUUUCUGUGCCCCUGCCUUGUUGGACUGCUAUUCAGUGUAUGACCCAGUUUCUGCAAUAAAGCAAAUUGAACAUUAUGCCUCUGCCUUGAAGUCCUGCAUUUGGGUCUGCCUACCAGAGGUUCGAGACAUGCAUCAUUGCAUAAGCCGCAGGGUUGAAAGAGUGUGACAAAAAAAAUUAUGGGACAUAUUGUGCGCCGCCAUUGUUGCUGCUCAGCUGACUGGCGAAGUGUUAACGGGUCGAUGCAGUCUCGUGGCAAAAUGACACAUGACCAGUGAGGGCCACUCAUAAGCGUGGACUGUCUUAUUUUUUCAGGAUUUAUGCACCCAUAUUACUCUACAGUACACAAUUGUUUGGUGUUUGUUUUUUGUUUUUGUUGUGGCCUAAAAUGCCCAGCACAGUACCAAGCAACAAUAUACAAAUAUUCAAACAAAGCUUGAAAAUGUUAGAAAGUUUCACAUUUUAGCC